GUGGUGGAAUGGGAAUGGCCGGUGGUAUGGGAAUGAAAAGCCUAAGUGGAAUGAGUGGAUUAGGAAAGCCAAGUGGAAUGGAUAACCAGUUUAGCCCAGGAAAAUCUCCAUUUGGUGGAAAUGAUUCUUUUGGUGUUAAUCGAAGUUUUGGAGGAGGAAACUCAACUUUUGCUCCAUCUACGCCAAGCUUCAACAAGGAUAGCCCCUUUGGUGGUGGCCCGAAUCAGAAGCGAGGAGGAAUAGGGGGACCGGGUGGAGACGGUGGAGGAGGGGGAAUUAUGCCGAAUCGCAUGAAUACUUCGAACGACCAGUUCAGUGACAGUAACGAAUGUUGGGAUAGUGACCCAGAAAAGUUUGACGACGGAAACCAAAGUGUAGGGGAUAACGACCAGUUCGGUGGUGGGAAUCAGAAUAGAGGAAAUGAUCAAUUUAGCAUUGGGAAUCAAAACAGAGGUGGGGGCAAUAUGUUUGGAGUGAGCGGCCAAAGCAGAGGUGGUAUUAAUCCACCUUUUGGUGGAAAUAAUCAGAAUAGACCCGUUGGUAAUCAAGGACGACCCAACCUUGGCGGUGGUGGAAUGAAUCAGAGUCAAAAUGUUCUACGAGUUCGAGGGAAUAGAGGUGGAAAGAAUAGGAAUAAAAACAAGGAAGUUGGAGUAAAUAGUUUUCGGGAUAGAAGUCCGAUAAACAGAGGACCUCGCGAUGACAAACUCGGCCACGAUUGGGAGAAAACUGGCGAUAGAAGUCGUCACGGUAGUUUUGGCAGUGGUUCCUUUGACGGUGGUCGUUUCGACGAUCUAAAAGGCCCUGUUGGAGGACCUAUGGCAGGAUCUCAUGGAGUUGGUCCCAGAGAGAUGAGCUCUGGAUAUGGGGGAUCUAGUGGUUCGGUGGAUUAUCAGUCAGCCGUAGCUGAAAAGAAUGACUGCGAGAUAAUCGUUGUCAACAAAGGUUUAACUGAUUACGCAGAGGCCAUAGAAAUGCGUCUAAAGAAAAUGGGUCUGACAGUGGAUCUUCUUUUCCCUAACGAAGAUGUUCCCCUCAGCCGAGUUCUUGGAAACAUAGCCAGCCGAGGUUGCCUCUAUGCAGUCGUAGUGACACACAUCAAUCAGGAACAUCACUCACUGACAUUAAACAUUCUUCACGGGCUUCCUCAAGAGCACAGAAACAUGCCGCUGGAAGAUGCCAUCAAUCUGAUAACGCGAGAUUUCGCCAACUACAAAUCAGGCGGUCGCUCGGUGCCCCUGAAUACCCCAUUCGCUAAUGAGCGCCACCCUGACGCUAUUCAGGUUCUGUUGAACAUGUUGGCAGACAAUCAUCAAUUGACCGUGCUGCAGUACGACCGAGUGAUCAAGUAUCUAGAGGUGAAAAGGGAGGAGCAGGUCCAGGUCGAGUUGGGCGAUGCCAAGGACUUGCCAUCGACGACUCUGGCCGUGAGCGACCCAAAGCAAGCCGAACUCCAGUCGAGGAUCCUGAACAUUCUGAACAGCAACAAGACCGCCGCCUCGGUACCAGCUCCUAGCCCCGUUCCGGCUCCGGCUCCUGUCCCUCCAGCUAAUUGGGGAGCAGGAUCUGUUAUAAUUGCAAGUAGUCCUUUACACUUGCAAUUCGGCACGGUCUUGCGGCAACACAUCAAAGGGGCUUGAUAUACGUACUCGAGUGCUUUUGCGACGGUAGCUGCGAGGCGAUUUUAUUCACACAAGAAAGCGGCAAGGCUUCGAUUAACGCAUCCAAAGCAACGUAUUCGUGAAAAGCGUAACAAAUCGACAAACGGGGCAUCGAAACUUCUCCUUCCAGGAUCUCCAACACGCUUCUGACAGCCUCGAUGUCGUACUUGUUCUGCAGCAG
rnacentral:misc_RNA from 1 species